UACGGAGGGUGCAAGCGUUAUCCGGAUUCACUGGGUUUAAAGGGUGCGUAGGUGGGAAUGUAAGUCAGUGGUGAAAUCUCCGUGCUUAACAUGGAAACUGCCAUUGAUACUAUGUUUCUUGAAUUUUCUGGAGGUAAGCGGAAUAUGUCAUGUAGCGGUGAAAUGCUUAGAUAUGACAUAGAACAUCGAUUGCGAAGGCAGCUCGCUACACUAUGAUUGACACUGAGGCACGAAAGCGUGGGGAUCAAACAGG
rnacentral:rRNA from 1 species